rnacentral:rRNA from 1 species
GCGCGUCUGAUUUGAUGCUUGCAUUGAAUGACAAGAUGAGCGGCGGACGGGUGAGUAACAGCGUGGGUAACCUGCCCUAUACACAUGGAUAACAUACUGAAAAGUUUACUAAUACAUGAUAAUAUAUAUUUACGGCAUCGUAGAUAUAUCAAAGUGUUAGCGGUAUAGGAUGGACCCGCGUCUGAUUAGCUAGUUGGUGAGAUAACUGCCCACCAAGGCGACGAUCAGUAGCCGACCUGAGAGGGUGAUCGGCCACAUUGGAACUGAGACACGGUCCAAACUCCUACGGGAGGCAGCAGUGGGGAAUAUUGCACAAUGGGCGCAAGCCUGAUGCAGCGACGCCGCGUGAUCUUAGAAGGCCUUCGGGCUUGUACAAAUCUUUAUACGGGAUGAAAAUGACAGUACCGUAAGACAUAAGGUCCGGCUAAAUACGUGCCAGCAGCCGCGGUAAUCACGUAUGGACCGAGCGUAGCUCCGGAAUCAUUGGGCGUACCGGGUACCGUAGGGCGGCCUAGUAAAGUUUCAGAAAGCUUCAAGGACAGUAUAAG